UGAGCAAAUCUUUCGUACACAGUCCUAGUAGCAUAAAUGACAUGUUCAGGACAAUCUUCAAAAUAGAAUAUUCUAUGAUACAAUGUAACUGUGCUACCAAUUAAUCGGGCCUUAUUCUCUCGUAUUUAUGAUUAGUGGGAUUUCGGUAUAACCUUUAUAAACUCUUGACAUGAAGUUUGAGCUACAAUAAUUAUGGUUCAGACCUCAAAAGGCUGGCUUUGCUAAACACAGUGAAGAACCUCCAUUUGCAAUUUUCUCCUUACUACUUGAUACUUAUUGGGUCACUUAGGAUCGUACUGGUUAUAGACUUGUCCCAACCAUGGAAAUUUGUAGCUAAGUGAAUUGCCAUUCCAAAUCCGCCUUGGAAACUGAGUUUGGCUUGGUGGAUAAAGUAUUGUUCCCUACUCUCAAAUUAUGGUAUUCUUUUCGUUAACAGUGUGCCUAUGUUCUUCCGAAGUUUAGAAUUGAGCAAUAUUAGCCAACUUCUCGUCACUCAUACAAUCUAGCCGUAUUAUUCCAGCCCAACACUGCCGUAAAUGGCUUUUUUAACUCUUUCUACUAUUGAUGUCAUGUAUGAAGUGCCAUCCAUACAAAUACCAAAUUUUAAUGCCGAAAGUUACCAUUGAUCGAGUCUCAGUGCCCGAUAACAUUUCCAUGUCCCAUUUAAGUACACCACCGUGCUCAUAUAGACUUGAACCAAACAGAUUCAGAUUUGAAACGUAUAGUUGGCACCGAGUUUAAAUAUAUCAUACAGAUUCGUAUGUUCCGGUGAUAGUUAUUCUCGUAUGGGAAACAAGUUACAUCUCCUAAUUUCUAGUUUGAAAAGCGAACAUCAUUCUCCUAGUUCAUUUUGGCCUCGGAUUUGAGAGUAUCUGAAUAAAAAACUAAGCAGUGUGUAAAGAUGCAUGGAUGAUCACUUUUUUUCUGUUCCAUAUACAUCCGCUGACUCCAAUUUACCUUCUCAAGUUCUUUCUGCAAUCUUGGAGUUGCAUCCAUAUCCACAGACAUGAUAGGUAUUCUGCAAGAUACUAAACGAUGUUAGAAGUUCCCUUAUCUCCAUCUCUGUUCAAUAACAUCAGUUCAAAGCAUAAGUGAAAUUGAGAAUGCCCUUCGUAACCUCAAUGGAUGAUUCCAUAUAUGAUAUAUCGCCCGCCUGAAAAGAAAUGCAACAUGUAGAACACCAAACAAAAAGGUAACUUGGAACAAUAGCUGGUUUUCCAGUUUCAGUAUCGCUCUGAUUAACAAAGUAUCAAUGGAAGAAAUACGCGAUACAAUCCCGUUUUCGUACCAUUUCUUCGAGACAUUGAGAGUUCCCUAUAUAUACUCCAUAACAAAGAUAAUAGCGUACAUUUACGCUGAUCAGUUGGAGAGGGUUCACACAUUCACUCUAUUAAAUUCUAGCCAUGCUAACGCCCUUGGAAUCUCCUCAAAACUCAAGUUGACCGUUUAGAAGGUUGACAGACUAAGUGAUCCUUCAGACCCUUAAUAACUACGUCUACCUCUUUUUU
rnacentral:rRNA from 1 species